ACUCACUUAGCUCAGUAGGUUAGAGCAUUUGUCUUAUACACAACAGGUCAAAGGUUCAAGUCCUUUAGUGAGUA
rnacentral:tRNA from 1 species